rnacentral:rRNA from 1 species
GAUGAACGCUAGCGGCAGGCCUAACACAUGCAAGUCGAGGGGUAACAGGAGGAAGCUUGCUUUCUCGCUGACGACCGGCGCACGGGUGCGUAACGCGUAUAGAACCUACCUUUUACAGAGGGAUAGUCCGAAGAAAUUUGGCAUAAUACCUCAUAGUAUUACUGAUUGGCAUCGAUUAGUAAUUAAAGCUCCGGCGGUAAGAGAUGGCUAUGCGUCCUAUUAGCUAGUUGGUACGGUAACGGCGUACCAAGGCAACGAUAGGUAGGGGUUCUGAGAGGGAUAUCCCCCACACUGGUACUGAGACACGGACCAGACUCCCACGGGAGGCAGCAGUGAGGAAUAUUGGACAAUGGUGGGAACACUGAUCCAGCCAUGCCGCGUGCAGGAAGACGGCCUUAUGGGUUGUAAACUGCUUUUAUAUGGGAAGAACCGCCGGUACGUGUACUGGUCUGACGGUACCAUAUGAAUAAGCACCGGCUAACUCCGUGCCAGCAGCCGCGGUAAUACGGAGGGUGCAAGCGUUAUCCGGAAUCAUUGGGUUUAAAGGGUCCGUAGGCGGGUUAAUAAGUCAGGGGUGAAAUCUCACAGCUCAACUGUGAAACUGCCUUUGAUACUGUUAGCCUUGAAUGAUAUGGAAGUAGAUAGAAUGUGUAGUGUAGCGGUGAAAUGCAUAGAUAUUACACAGAAUACCGAUUGCGAAGGCAGUCUACUACGUAUUGAUUGACGCUAAUGGACGAAAGCGUGGGGAGCGAACAGGAUUAGAUACCCUGGUAGUCCACGCCGUAAACGAUGGACACUAGUUGUUGGGCGUAAGUUCAGUGACUAAGCGAAAGUGAUAAGUGUCCCACCUGGGGAGUACGUUGGCAACAAUGAAACUCAAAGGAAUUGACGGGGCCC